CUGCGCUGCUAGACUGCAAGUCGAACGAGAAAGUCCCCUUCGGGGGAUAAGUAAAGUGGCGCACGGGUGAGUAACACGUAGGUAAUCUACCUUCGGGUGGGGAAUAACCCAGGGAAACUUGGGCUAACACCGCAUGAUGCAGCGGCACCACAUGGUGACAGUUGUUAAAGCGGGGGAUUUUAGGACCUCGCGCCUGAAGAGGAGCCUGCGGCGGAUUAGCUAGUUGGUGAGGUAACGGCUCACCAAGGUCACGAUCCGUAGCCGGCCUGAGAGGGCGGUCGGCCACACUGACACUGACAUACGGGUCAGACUCCUACGGGAGGCAGCAGUCGGGAAUUUUGGGCAAUGGGCGAAAGCCUGACCCAGCAACGCCGCGUGAAGGAUGAAAUCCCUCGGGAUGUAAACUUCGCAAGAAUGGGAAGAAUUAGUAGGGGCUAAUACCCCCUAUGAUGACGGUACCAUUUGUAAGCUCCGGCUAACUCCGUGCCAGCAGCCGCGGUAAUACGGGGGGAGCAAGCGUUGUUCGGAUUUACUGGGCGUAAAGGGCGCGUAGGCGGCCACUGCAAGUCAGUUGUGAAAUCUCCGGGCUUAACUCGGAAAGGUCAACUGAUACUGCAGGGCUAGAGUGCGGAAGGGGCAACUGGAAUUCUCGGUGUAGCGGUGAAAUGCGUAGAUAUCGAGAGGAACACCUGCGGCGAAAGCGGGUUGCUGGGCCGACACUGACGCUGAGGCGCGAAAGCCAGGGGAGCGAACGGGAUUAGAUACCCCGGUAGUCCUGGCCUUAAACGA
rnacentral:rRNA from 1 species